rnacentral:rRNA from 1 species
GUUGGUCCCGCACAUUUGACUUGAGUUAAAAUAGGGCUUUGCCCGUGAACCACAUCAGGUGGACUAGGCCGCCAGAGCGGAAAUGCUUUGGCGGCUUGUCCACGAAUUGUAAUCAAAAAUAUGGGCGGGGGUGAAUCCUUUGCAGACGACUUGAAUGGGAACGGGGUACUGUAAGCGGUAGAGUAGCCUUGUUGCUACGAUCCGCUGAGGUUAAGCCCUUGUUCUAAAGAUUUGU